GGAUUGUAGUCAGAUCAGGCAUUUUUCAUAAGUCCCUCAUCAGUCUCUUGGCUCAGCCCUUUGAUGUGUUGGCCCAUUUUAAUUACCCUGACUGAAAAAGUCUUACCUGGUCUCUUCUCCCUUUCCUUUCCUGCAGGUUACAGAAGGAACUCUCUUGGAAGGAUCCUACUCACAAACAGCUCUCAAGCGCUGCUGAUUUUUUAUUUCUUGUGUUUCUUGUGCCCCCCAUUGGGCGCCAUUUGUUACGGGAGCAACCUGCUAGUGGCUGCAAGCUAGUAGACACAUUUGCAAGUGAUCAUAAAAGGAGAAGAGGCAGAGAUAUGAAAAUGACGACCAUUGCUAUGAUUCCUAAAGGUUUGUAAAGCUUUUUUUAUUUGAUUCUUGAAAUCCUUCUAGAUAUGUGCUGUUAUUCCACAUCUUACAGGAGAAGAAAUCAAAACUCAAAGUAUUCAUCAGUUCACUGGGGGUCAUACGACUAUUAAAUACCAGAAGUAGGUUUGAGUCUAGGACCUUGUAACUCCAAGUAUAGUUAGUAACCCUUUCACUACACCAUUCUAUACCUAGAAAUGAAAUCAUAAUUGCCUUUUUUUAAAUAGACAACACUUCCAUCAGUUUCUCUGAAUAAUACCUUCA
rnacentral:lncRNA from 1 species